GAACUCGGCUGCUGUCUUCACUUCUGGAAAGCAGACGACAGACUUGUACUCGCUAAACACAGAAACAUUCUCCACUCCAAGAUGAAGACUCUUCUCCUUGUUCUCCUCGUCUGUUCCCUGGCUUACGUCAGUGCAGAAACGCUCUGCCUGUGCACCACGGCCCAGGAUCCAGUCUGCGCCAACGACGUCACCUACUCCAACCCCUGUCAGGCUGGAUGCGCGGGAAUUACGACGUACACAACCGGAGCAUGUCCAGUGAUUUCUCCACAUUGAACACAAGAUCAAUGACUUUUGAAUUAAAAUGUGAUUGAAAACAUCCUGUGUGUGUUAAAAUGAUUAUCACUAUGGACUGUGUAAUUAACUGAAAUAAAAUAGCUUGAGCAUUA
rnacentral:lncRNA from 1 species